rnacentral:rRNA from 1 species
UACGAACCGAGCGAACGUUGUUCGGAAUCACUGGGCUUAAAGGGCGCGUAGGCGGGCUGUCAAGUCUGGGGUGAAAUCCCGCGGCUCAACCGCGGAACUGCCUCAGAUACUGACGGUCUCGAGGGGGGUAGGGGCGAGCGGAACUGAUGGUGGAGCGGUGAAAUGCGUUGAUAUCAUCAGGAACUCCGGUGGCGAAGGCGGCUCGCUGGACCCCUUCUGACGCUGAGGCGCGAAAGCCAGGGGAGCAAACGGG